rnacentral:rRNA from 1 species
AGAAUCAACGCUGGCGGCGUGUCUCAGACAUGCAAGUCGAACGCGAAAGUUUCCUUCGGGAAGCGAGUAGAGUGGCGCACGGGUGAGUAACACGUAGGUAAUCUACCUUUGGAUGGGGAAUAACAACCGGAAACGGUUGCUAAUACCGCAUAAUGCAGCGGCACCUAAUGGUGACAGUUGUUAAAGCGGGGGAUCGAAAGACCUCGCGUCUGAAGAGGAGCCUGCGGCGGAUUAGCUAGUUGGUAAGGUAAUGGCUUACCAAGGCUACGAUCCGUAACCGG